ensembl:lncRNA
UAAAUAUGGACGUCUCAACACUUCUUCUGUGUCUGUGGACGUUCAGUACGGCCCAAAGAACCCCUCAGUGUCAGUCAGUCCCUCUGGUGGAAUAGUGGAGGGCAGUUCAGUGACUCUGACCUGCAGCAGUGAUGCCAACCCUCCUGUGGACAAAUACACCUGGUACUUUCAAAAUGAGACUUUUCUAAAUGGAUGUGGACAGAUGUACAACAUCAGUAACUUCAGGUCUGAGGACAGUGGACAUUACCACUGUGAGGCCUGGAAUAGAAGAGGAUCUAGGAACUCUACAGCUCUGAUGAUCAUUUUACCAGGGAAACAAACCUCAGUUCAGACUGCAGCUGUAGGAAUCAUAGUGGUUGUUCUGGUUCUCAUCCUCUGUUUCUCUGGACUCAUGUGGUUCAGGAAGAAGGCCUCCAAAUCCACCUCUGACACAAGAGACACAUCAGAGAAUGUACAGGGAGACUCUAGUCCAGUGUAUGAAAACGUCUCAAGCAUGUCCACAGCCCCUACUGCAGCACAGACAGCAGCCACCGUCCACCAGGACGAUGUUCACUACUCCAGUGUCCACUUCUCUCGCUCCAAAAACCAGGAAGUGCCUCUGUACUCUACCGUCCAGAUGCCUCAGCCCCAGAAAGAGGAAGAGGAUGUCCAGUACGAUGCUGUGAAAUUCAACCUCCCCAGUGCUGCCAACCAACCCACGGCAGCACAAGCAGCUGAGGAGGACUCUUCUGAGAUCUAUAGUAGAGUCAACAAACCCAGAAGACCUGAACACAACAAACCCAGAACCAAAAAGACCUGAAUGCAACAAACCCAGAACCAAGAAGACCUGAACGCAACAAACCCAGAAACAAGAAGACCUGAACGCAACAAACCCAGAACCAAGAAGACCUGAACGCAACAAACCCAGAACCAAGAAGACCUGAACACAACAAACCCAGAACCAAGAGGACCUGAACACAACAAACCCAGAACCAAGAGGACCUGAACACAACAAACCCAGAACCAAGAAGACCUGAACGCAACAAACCCAGAACCAAGAAGACCUGAACGCAACAAACCCAGAACCAAAAAGACCUGAACGCAACAAACCCAGAACCAAAAAGA